rnacentral:rRNA from 1 species
CCUACGGGUGGCAGCAGUGGGGAAUAUUGGGCAAUGGGCGCAAGCCUGACCCAGCAACGCCGCGUGACGGAAGAAGGCUUUCGGGUUGUAAACUUCUUUUGUCAGGGAAGAGUAGAAGACGGUACCUGACGAAUAAGCCACGGCUAACUACGUGCCAGCAGCCGCGGUAAUACGUAGGUGGCAAGCGUUGUCCGGAUUUACUGGGUGUAAAGGGCGUGUAGCCGGGUAGGCAAGUCAGAUGUGAAAUCCUGCGGCUUAACCGCAGAACUUCUUUUGAAACUUUUUAUCGUGAGUAAUGGAGAGGGAGACGGAAGUCCCAGUGUAGCGGUGAAAUGCGUAGAUAGUAGGAGGAACACCAGUGGCGAAGGCGGCCUGCUGGACUGUAACUGACGGUGAGGCGCGAAAGCGUGGGGAGCAAACAGGAUUAGAUACCCGUGUAGUC